rnacentral:lncRNA from 1 species
GGGGCAAUCAUUAUUCUGCCAGCCAGAGGAAGUUUGUCCACAUUGUGGGGAUUUCUAUGCCAACAGAAAUAUCAACGCUGUUUGCACUAUAAUUUACUUUUUGAGCUUCUGACAUUUACCCAGCUGACUGUCUUUGGAGAACAAUCUCUUGACUGAGAAGCACUCUAGCAUAAACUUGUACGCCAGUGUUCCUUCUUCAAAAUAUUAUAUAUUUGAUACUUGAGCUCAUAAUGUUUGCUAAAAAGGAUUUCCCUUUCCGUGAAAGUCAACAUAAGUUCUGGAAUGAAUGACUAAAGGAGGUUACCACUGACCAGUUUCAACAAAAUCUUCAUCUUGAGUUUUAUGCUCAUUCAAACAUCUAUGUACCACCUAAAGACAGUUUUCAAAGUUGAGAUUUCCUUAUUACUUCAGUUAGCAACUAAGUGUUGAGUGUCUACUGUUUGUCUGUCCAUGGAUGAUCCACUUCUCAGGCAUGGGGGCCAUGUGGCUUUAAUCUCUGUGUGCGGAGCUCCAAGCUAAGGGACUGGCACAGCACACCAAAUAGGUUACAGAAGAUUUGCAGAGAAAAUGCAAGCUAUAUUUUUUUUCUUCUACAUAUCCAGAAGGUGCCGUUUUAUCUCAAAUUUGGGAAGACAUUGACAAUCAUUCCUCUGCUCACAUCAUAUGAUAAUGGAAGAAUUGCAUUGCUUUGUAAAACCUAGUUCUACAUUAAAUGCCACAGAAGAUCCCUUCCGAUCAGAAAAGGGAGUUGAAGUGGAAAAAAGACUUGAUUCAGAAAAUUGUGGAAGAGACAUGUCUGUACAUAACACUGAGAAAUUGAGAUCAUAAGGACGCAAAGAAAUUAAUUAUAUCAUUCAAUUAUUCCUCGCACAGUCUUCAUAUUAUCUUAUAUACAUGAAUAUGUAUUUUUUAUUAAAACAUCUUAGAAGAAAAAUGUAUAUACACACACAGACCCAUACAUCUAUUCUAUUGUAGAAAGUGGGAGAAGAAUAAUGUUCUUGAUUAAAAUAUAAAUUUAUUCUAUACUAUUAUUAAGAUCUUUUGCUUUUCAACACAGAGCCCUACUUGACCACCCAAAGAACUUGUACGAGAAAGAAAGUUUCAGAGUUCUUCAUUGUCA